CCGAGGGACGAGGCGACUGGAGAGACGUUGCUGAUUGCUUCAACCUUGGCCUUGCCUCGGCUUCGACCGUGCUGAACCGCCCAGAGUGCACUUCCGGAUGUUUGGGAACUUGCCCCUCAGUGCUACGGAUAUGCCACUGAAGGGAACGCGUAGACCCACAUCCUUCCGUGCCGAACGGGUCACACUAGAAGCAUCGGCGCGUCCAAGGGAUGCGCAACAACCACCCAUCUCCGCACUGUGAGGCCAGGCCGGCACCUCAACAGAGAACACUUUUCCGAGGGACGAGGCGACUGGAGAGACG